UGGUGUGAAGCUUGAGAGGCCUGUCGAGGGAGAUGAGGCUGGGCAGGAGGUUGCUGCUGCCGAGUAGUUUGUUUGCUAGUUCUAUAUCUAGGCGAGUCUGGACAUGAGGUUGCUUAUGACGUGAACUUAUAGAGUUGUCUUGGCUAUGUGUUUUCGUCUAGCCCUAAGAUUUUGUCUUGAAACAAGUUUAAAAUUAAGAUUAUUUGUAACAAGUGUUUAGGAUUACUCGUGGUGAUAUUCUGUGUUCGAUUACUGCUGUACUAAGUUCCAUCAUCCUCAUUUUUGUUUGG
rnacentral:lncRNA from 7 species